CCCCGGCCAGCUGUUGGGCAGGAGAGCCUGAGACGCUCUUUCCCCUCUCCGUGCUCAUAUUUACGAGGCAACGUGAUAAAUUCAGUAUUGAUCCCUUCUGCCGCGCGGUAAAUUUUGCAAGAAAAAAAAAAAGAAAGAUUAAAUAGUUCAAUAGAGCCUGCGAGCACCGUGGCUCAAUAUGUUCCGGGACGGCGUAUCGACCCCUCCGUCCGACGGCAGCAACUUCCACUCCCAGCCCUGCCAGACCAGUAAUUAAAAUCCUGGGAGACUGGGAUUUAAAAAGCAAUCAUCUCACUGCGCCGAAGCUUAACGUCCCGCCGUGGCGAGGGCAAUAAGCGUGCGAGCGGCCGAGUGCUUAAGGGUAGUUCCCCCGUAGGGCAGGGGAGCAAAUUAGGUCCCUCUCGGAGUGGUCGUGGGCACGGUGACGUUGUGUUUGGGGUGUUUAACAGCUCCGCACGCGUGGAGGGAGUGAGAGAGGAGGUGGGUCUUCGCUUUCCCUUCCCGUCGUGCUGCUGUGCAGGCAGAGGGUGGGCAGCACCGACCUUCGUCCCCAGUAGGAUCAGCCAGCUUGUUCUGUAAGGGGCUGUGGAGGACAGGAGGCUUUCCCGAGCCCAUGUGCGCCAGCACCGUCCACUGAGGCAGCUAAGAAAGGAGAUCCCGAGCCGUGGAGUCGUAGAAUGAUGAAGGAAGAGACCUCCAAGGUCUGUCUUGGUCAUUGAGAACCUUACAAACCGCUGAUUCUGGUGGCCCGGCGCAGCGCUCACCUGCAUCCGGACUCCUUCAGGCAGCAAAAUGGACCUCAUCGGCCAACAUCUGUUGUACAGCGACCGAAGUGUGGAAACACCGUGGUUGGAAAUGACCUCCAAGAUCCCCAAAUCAACACCAACCCAUCCCCACCAUGUUUUGCUUGUAGAAUCGGAGUCAUUAAGGCUGGCAAUGACCUCCAACAUCCCCAGAUCCAACCACCAACCCAUCCCCACCGUGUUUGCUCAGAGAAUCGGAGCCAUUAAGGUUGGAAGUGACCUCCAAGAUCCCCAAAUCCAACUGCCAACCCAUCCCCACCGUGUUUGCUCAUAGAACUGGAGUCAUUAAGGUUGGAAGUGACCUCCAAGAUCCCCAAAUCCAACCACCAACCCAUCCCCACCGUGUUUGCUCAGAGAAUCGGAGUCAUUAAGCCUGACAAUGACCUCCAAGAUCCCCAGAUCCAACCAACCCAUCCCCACCGUGUUUGCUCAUAGCAUCGGAGUCAUUAAGGCUGGCAAUGACCUCCAAGAUCCCCAAAUC
ensembl:lncRNA